GUCAUUUAAAUAGAAAAUGCACCUGUGCCCAUGGGCGUGCUGGUCUUACAGGAAGGUGUGUUCAGGUGCAUUCUGGGUGUGCUGGUCUUACAGGAAGGUGUGUUCAGGUGCAUUCUGGGCGUAUUGCUAUCUCGAGGCGGCGGGAAGUGAUCGCGUCAUUGACCAACAAAAACCUGGUCUAUAAGUAAAUAACGCAGCAUUUCAUUGUUAUUUCAACAGC